rnacentral:rRNA from 1 species
GCGUGACGGCGCGAGCAGGUGCGAAAGCAGGUCAUAGUGAUCCGGUGGUUCUGAAUGGAAGGGCCAUCGCUCAACGGAUAAAAGGUACUCCGGGGAUAACAGGCUGAUACCGCCCAAGAGUUCAUAUCGACGGCGGUGUUUGGCACCUCGAUGUCGGCUCAUCACAUCCUGGGGCUGAAGUAGGUCCCAAGGGUAUGGCUGUUCGCCAUUUAAAGUGGUACGCGAGCUGGGUUUAGAACGUCGUGAGACAGUUCGGUCCCUAUCUGCCGUGGGCGCUGGAGAACUGAGGGGGGCUGCUCCUAGUACGAGAGGACCGGAGUGGACGCAUCACUGGUGUUCGGGUUGUCAUGCCAAUGGCACUGCCCGGUAGCUAAAUGCGGAAGAGAUAAGUGCUGAAAGCAUCUAAGCACGAAACUUGCCCCGAGAUGAGUUCUCCCUGACUCCUUGAGAGUCCUGAAGGAACGUUGAAGACGACGACGUUGAUAGGCCGGGUGUGUAAGCGCAGCGAUGCGUUGAGCUAACCGGUACUAAUGAACCGUGAGGCUUAACCUU